rnacentral:rRNA from 1 species
AUCCAGACUCCUACGGGAGGCAGCAGUAGGGAAUUUUCGUCAAUGGAGGGAACUCUGAACGAGCAAUGCCGCGUGAGUGAAGAAGGUCUUCGGAUCGUAAAGCUCUGUUGCAAGAGAAAAACGACAAGCACAGGGGAUGGUGAUUGAGUGAUGGUAUCUUGCGAGGAAGCCACGGCUAACUACGUGCCAGCAGCCGCGGUAAUACGGAGGAUGCGAGCGUUAUCCGGAUUUAUUGGGUUUAAAGGGUGCGCAGGCGGAAGAUCAAGUCAGCGGUAAAAUUGAGAGGCUCAACCUCUUCGAGCCGUUGAAACUGGUUUUCUUGAGUGAGCGAGAAGUAUGCGGAAUGCGUGGUGUAGCGGUGAAAUGCAUAGAUAUCACGCAGAACUCCGAUUGCGAAGGCAGCAUACCGGCGCUCAACUGACGCUCAGGCACGAAAGUGUGGGUAUCGAACAGGAUUAGAUACCCUCGUAC